rnacentral:lncRNA from 1 species
UUAAAGUAAAAAGCCGCCCAAUGAACACCCCUAUUCAUUUCAUAGCAAAUUUUAUGAUUAAAUUUUAGUUUUAUUAAAACAUUAGGUCUAGCUCUAACCCUUUAAUUUUACUUAAUUUUUAGUAUUUAAUCUACCUAAUAUACAUGUAUCUAAGCUAAGGAUGAAUCGAGAUUACUUACCUCACAAUGCUAUGUUAAAAUCCCCUCCUUUGAAGCUCCCAAAUCACCCAAGUAUAGAGAAGAAAUGAAACAAAAUGGCCUUUGAGUUCGAAUUAAAUGAACUCACUUCCCAGCGAUUUUCGCAUCUACGAUUUGGGUCCCGCAUCUGCGAUUCCACACCGGCAGAAGGAGGACUGCAUUUGCGGAACUGGGCGAAAGUGGUUGGACCGCAUCUACGGUCUGGGGCCCGCUUCUGCGAUUUUGAAACCGCUCCUGGGGUUUCCCCUGACAUGACCACUGGCUGCUUCUACGAUUGCAUUACCGCACAUGCGGUCUCGUAUCGGCAGUCCAAAUCUGCAAAUAUGGUUAUGACAGAAGCAACAAACUCAGCUCCUUCUCCAAAUUUCAACUUCUCUCGAGCCUCGUCCGUUUGACGCUCGGGGCUCCUGAGCCCCGCUCGAACAUACCGACAAGUCUGAAGUCACGAGGCGGACCUACUCGAAUCCUCGAAACACUCAAAACAAUGCUAAAUCUAGGAAUCACCCCCUAAAAUCAAAUAAUCAAACUAAUGAACUUCAGGUUCUUCACUCUCCUCUAACGGGUCAAAACGCCCUUAAACUACUCGAGUUGGCACCAAAUUUUACAAACAAGUCUUAAAUGAUAUUACGGACCUCUACCAAACUUCGGAAAGAAAAUUUGAGCCUGAUACCUAAGAAAUUAAUGAAUACUAAGUUUCUUUAAUUAUUUAAAACUUCAAUUUAACAAUUUUAAAUAAAAAUUCAUUAAUCGGGCUAGGAACCUCGGAAUUCGAUUCCGGACAUACAUUCAGGUUUCGUAUUUUUUCACGGAUCCUCUGGGACCAUCAAAUCAUGAAUCCGGAUUCAUUUUCCCAAAAAGUUGACCGAAGUCAAAUCUGGUCUUUUAAGAGAAUCUUAAAGAAACAAAUGGAUAUUUUUACUCAAAACUCUUCCAACUCCUGAACCAGCCGUCCCCGUAAUUUAUAAAUUAGCUAAAGCAAGUGUAAAAAAUUUUUGUUUAACAGUAGGGUUUUAAAUGGCAAAACGACCGGUCGGGUUGUUACAUCUAACUUAACAAGAUAAAGAAAAACAAAACCGGAAUCUUGUGGUGUUUCUGAUGGCUUUUUUUUGGGUGUUUACAUCGUAAUUUGGAGCUGUUCUCAUGGCUAUUUUCUGUAUGAUUCGGACGAUUUUUGACUGAGAUUUAGAACGAUUUGCAGAGGUGGUUUACUGCUGACUUUUGACUGAAGUCUGGUGCAUUUUGGCUGGAGUGUGGUGGUUGAUUUUUGGGGUUUAGUUCUGGAGAAGAUGAAGAAGAAGAAGGGAGCGAUUUUCCCGUUUUUUCGGCCCUCUCUUGCGCCGUUGCUGCCUUGUUUCUUGUAGAGGGGAGGCUCCGAUCUUUUUGUGGUGAAGAAAAGAAAAAACUGUGCUCAGUUGAAGGGGAAGAG